rfam:Triticum urartu cultivar G1812 contig162903, whole genome shotgun sequence.
UUCUUACUCCCUCUGUCCCAAAAUUCUUGUCUUACAUUUGUCUAGAUACUGAUGUAUCUAAUACUAAAAUAUGACUUGAUACAUUCGUAUUUAGACAAAUCUAAGACAAGAAUUUUGGGACGGAGGGAGUACAUC